GGAUGGCGAACCCUGUGCCCAUGGAGAUGCCAUGUGUGCCAGGGCAGGAACUGCUGCAGAGGAGGUGGCACGAGCAGGAGCAGCGCUUGGAUUCACUGCACUGAGCACAGGUUGUUGCCUGCCUGCUCUGAAGAAGUGUGCAGAGACCUUUUCACCAGAGGAAGAAACUGAUGUAACCAGCUACAAAUCUGCACCACCUCAAGGAGGAUCCAUGAGCCUGUGGCCACAGCAGGGCCCAACUGCAGCAGCCAGAGGCUUGCCAAGAAAAACAGGGUUUAACCUGGUUUUGGAGUGGGCGCGACCCAGAUUUACUUCCCACAAGACUGCACAGUUUAUUAGACAUCCCUGGAAAGAGGUGUGAUGGAGAUACCAUGGAAACAUGACAGCAAACAGAGCUGUCAUCUCGCAUCUUCUCCACUGAUGGAUUCUUCAGGCAGAGCAGAGCUGGCUCACGCGUGCACCUCCCUCACCUCUUCCUCUCCAUCUUCACAUCAAGAGCGUGAAGACAUCCCCACGCUGCAGCCAGGGGGGCACUUGUUCAUCAGGUCUGGGGGGAAACUCGAGCCAACCAUGAUCCCCAGCAAAAACCCCAGUAUGGGCAGAGAGGGGCAGGUGAGACUGGCAGAACUCAGCUGCUGGCAUCUGGAGCCACCAGAGGUGUCUGCAGUGACCCACAAAAUGCAUUCUCCCUGCUUGAUCCAUCCUGUUACGUGA
rnacentral:lncRNA from 14 species